rnacentral:rRNA from 1 species
UACGUAGGGGGCAAGCGUUGUCCGGAUUUACUGGGCGUAAAGAGCGUGUAGGCGGCCAAGCAGGUCCGUUGUGAAAACUGGAGGCUUAACCUCCAGACGUCGACGGAAACCGCGUGGCUAGAGUCCGGAAGAGGAGAGUGGAAUUCCUGGUGUAGCGGUGAAAUGCGCAGAUAUCAGGAAGAACACCAAUGGCGAAGGCAGGUCUCUGGGCCGAUACUGACGCUGAGGAGCGAAAGCGUGGGGAGCGAACAGG